CCUACGUGAGGCAGCAGUGAGGAAUAUUGGUCAAUGGACGGAAGUCUGAACCAGCCAUGCCGCGUGCAGGAAGACGGCUCUAUGGGUUGUAAACUGCUUUUGUACAAGGGUAAACCUGAAUACGUGUAUUCAGCUGCAAGUACUUUACGAAUAAGGAUCGACUAACUCCGUGCCAGAAGCCGCGGUAACACGGUGGUGCCAAGCGUUAUCCGGAUUUAUUGGGUAUAAAGGGUGCGUAGGCGGAUGGAUAAGUUAGAGUGGAAAUGUCCGGGCUUAACUCGGGAACUGCCGGUAAUACUGGUGAUCUAGAGAGUAGAUGCGGUAGGCGGAAUGUAUGGUGUAGCGGUGAAAUGCUUAGAGAUCAUACAGAACACCGAUUGCGAAGGCAGCUUACCAAGCUAUAUCUGACGUUGAGGCACGAAAGCGUGGGGAGCAAACAGGAUUAGAUACCCUUGUAGUC
rnacentral:rRNA from 1 species